rnacentral:rRNA from 1 species
AUUGAACGCUGGCGGCAUGCCUUACACAUGCAAGUCGAACGGUAACAGGUCUUUCGGGAUGCUGACGAGUGGCGAACGGGUGAGUAAUACAUCGGAACGUGCCUAGUAGUGGGGGAUAACUACUCGAAAGAGUGGCUAAUACCGCAUGAGAUCUAUGGAUGAAAGCAGGGGACCUUUGGGCCUUGUGCUACUAGAGCGGCCGAUGGCAGAUUAGGUAGUUGGUGGGAUAAAAGCUUACCAAGCCUACGAUCUGUAGCUGGUCUGAGAGGACGAUCAGCCACACUGGGACUGAGACACGGCCCAGACUCCUACGGGAGGCAGCAGUGGGGAAUUUUGGACAAUGGGCGCAAGCCUGAUCCAGCAAUGCCGCGUGCAGGAUGAAGGCCCUCGGGUUGUAAACUGCUUUUGUACGGAACGAAAAGUCUUGGGUUAAUACCCUGGGAUCAUGACGGUACCGUAAGAAUAAGCACCGGCUAACUACGUG